ensembl:misc_RNA 7SK 7SK RNA
GGAUGUGAGGGUGAGCUGCAAUAUCUGUCACCCCAUUGAUUACCAGGGGUUGCUUUGGCUGAGCUGCCUGGCUCAGCAGGUGUUCCCUUCUUCCUUCACUGCAACAUGUGCAUCCCUCCUGAAGUUGGGUGCUCAAAAGGAGUGGCCACCCCCAUAGAGGAGAACCAUUUCCUAAGUUAAGGGUAUAUAAGUAACUGUGCUUCCUUGCUAAAACCUCCAAACAAGCUCUCAAGUGGAGGAAAUAUUUCUUGAGAGAGGUAGCUCCUGAGAGGCAGGAGGGGGACCUGAAAAUGGGUUGCCAAUGAGCCCCACUUU